UGCUCCUGGCAGAGUUGCUGCCGGACUGGCUCAGCCUGCAUCGCAUCCGCACGGAUACCUACGUCAAGCUGGACAAGGCUGUUGACCUGGCUGGCCUCACUGCGAGGCUGGCCCACCACGUCCACGCCGAGGGGCUGUGACUUUGAGCUCCUUGCCUGUUUCUUUCAUCAGUACACGACGCACUUACGCCUUUAAGCCUCGCCAGUGUGGGCAGCUAUCGUUGCCCAUGGAUCUCAUAAAGUGCUGGCAUUAAGUUGCUUCCUGAGGCUUUGGGGCAUCCCAGACUCAGCUCUAGGGGAAGUAGACUCUGAAGAGUAGGGUAUGUUGGAUGGCCAUUGCACAAACUACUCAAGCAUUAGGUAUGGUCAAGACCCAAGAUCAAGGUCCAGGUGGAAGCCUAGGCUGGCAUAGCCUUGCUUCCCCAUGAGACUUAAGAAUCACACAGACCUUGGACUUUCCUGAUUUCACGGGACGCUGCUCUGAGAGUGAAAUUGGGCCUUCUGUAAAUAUGUGAAGUGUGGUUUCUUUUCAAACCUUAUAUGGCCCUGCAUGUGACUGCUAGUUUUGGCUUUUAAUAAAGUCAUGUAAGAUUUAA
rnacentral:lncRNA from 1 species